AUGGACGCACGGAUGAGGCUGGUAGUUCAGGCAGCAGCAUUGAUGGCUGUGAUUCAGGCAUGGCUCUUGCUCAUGCACAGGAGAGAUGUUCGUCUUGGUGAGAGACCUGUCAUCGGUUAUGCUCCAAUGCUUACGUGGGAGCAGGAGAGGAUCGCCAAUCUGAACUACAUCUACAACUGCAAGGACACAUAAGCCCUAUGGAUGCUUCGAAUGAAAAGAGCACCAUUUGCCAGACCUGUCCGGACCUUCAGGAGCAGGGGACUACUACAAGAUAGCAUCCACACCAGCAUGGAAGAGCAAGUGGCCAUGUUCCUUCAUGUUGUUAGCCAUAACCAGAAGUUUGUUAUGCACAACACGUUUAGGAGAUCAAUGGAGACCAUCUCAAGGUACUUCAAGCAAGUGCUUUAUGCUGCUGGGGAGCUCAGAGGAGAAAUGAUCAAGUCACCGACCGUUCGGACUCCUACCAAGAUUCGCACUAGCCCAAGAUGGUAUCCAUACUUCAGGCUGAGCACUGACUCAGCUUGUAUGUGCUUCAUGGGUUGA
rnacentral:rRNA from 1 species